GUACGUGGCUCAGGUGUACUACAUAAUAACUAAGAUCAAGUGGGAAUAUGAUACACCACCCAACAUCUUAAAAGGAGUGCACUACGGCGCAGACCUGGCAACUCCCAUCAACAUCGACACCUCUAUGAGAUCUCGGAGUGACGUGAGCGACCAGCUGUGGGGUUUUGUCAACACUGAUUGGUAGAUGAAGAACAGUGGUGUUGUCAGAACUUAUGUGUACAUUAUGUAUUUGUUUGUAUGUUUUAUAUAACAUUUAAAUCAUUUAACGAUUAAACGUCUCGGACCAGUGGCGUAGUA